rnacentral:rRNA from 1 species
UGGGGAAUUUUGCACAAUGGGGGAAACCCUGAUGCAGCGACGCCGCGUGAUUUAGAAGGCCUUCGGGUUGUAAAAAUCUUUUCUAUGGGAAGAAAAUGACAGUACCAUAGGAAUAAGGACCGGCUAAUUACGUGCCAGCAGCCGCGGUAAUACGUAAGGUCCGAGCGUUGUCCGGAAUCAUUGGGCGUAAAGGGUACGUAGGCGGGUAAGCAAGUUAGAAGUGAAAUCCUAUAGCUCAACUAUAGUAAGCAUUUAAAACUGCUCAUCUUGAGGUAUGGAAGGGAAAGUGGAAUUCCUAGUGUAGCGGUGAAAUGUGCAGAUAUUAGGAGGAAUACCGGUGGCGAAGGCGACUUUCUGGCCAUAACCUGACGCUGAGGUACGAAAGCGUGGGUAGCAAACAGG